rnacentral:rRNA from 1 species
CCUACGGGUGGCAGCAGUGAGGAAUCUUGGUCAAUGGACUCAAGUCUGAACCAGCCAUGCCGCGUGCAGGAAGACGGCUCUAUGAGUUGUAAACUGCUUUUGUACGAGGGUAAACGCAGAUACGCGUAUCUGUCUGAAAGUACCGUAUGAAUAAGGAUCGGCUAACUCCGUGCCAGCAGCCGGGGGAAUACGGAGGAUACAAGCGAUAUCCGGUUUUGUUGGGUUUAACGGGUGCGUAGUCGGUCGGAUAAGUUAGAUGUGAAAGCCCGGGGCUCAAAUUCGGACGUGCCUCUGAUACUGGUCGGCUAGAGAGUAGUAGCGGUAGGCGGAAUGUAAGGUGUAGCGGUGAAAUGCUUAGAGAUCAGACAGAACACCGAUUGCGAAGGCAGCUUACCAAGCUACUUCUGACGUUGAGGCACGAAAGCGUGGGGAGCAAACAGGAUUAGAUACCCCAGUAGUC